rnacentral:tRNA from 1 species
UUAAUUGAAACCAAAAUAGAGGUAUAUCACUGUUAAUGAUAUUAAUGAAUUAGAAUUCCAAUUAAA